rnacentral:rRNA from 1 species
GGUGAGUAACACGUGAGUAACCUGCCCUUGACUUUGGGAUAACUUCAGGAAACUGGGGCUAAUACCGGAUAGGAGCUCCUGCUGCAUGGUGGGGGUUGGAAAGUUUCGGCGGUUGGGGAUGGACUCGCGGCUUAUCAGCUUGUUGGUGGGGUAGUGGCUUACCAAGGCUUUGACGGGUAGCCGGCCUGAGAGGGUGUACGGCCACAUUGGGACUGAGAUACGGCCCAG